GCGGCGAACGGGUGAGUAACACGUGAGCAAUCUGCCCUUCUCUUUGGAAUAACCAUUGGAAACGAUGGCUAAUGCCGAAUAUGACCUCCUUUCGCAUGUUUGGAGGUGGAAAGCUCCGGCGGAGAAGGAUGAGCUCGCGGCCUAUCAGCUUGUUGGUGAGGUAAUGGCUCACCAAGGCAUUGACGGGUAGCCGGCCUGAGAGGGUGACCGGCCACACUGGGACUGAGACACGGCCCAGACUCCUACGGGAGGCAGCAGUGGGGAAUAUUGGACAAUGGGCGAAAGCCUGAUCCAGCAACGCCGCGUGAGGGAUGACGGCCUUCGGGUUGUAAACCUCUUUCAGCAGGGACGAAGCGAGAGUGACGGUACCUGCAGAAGAAGGACCGGCCAACUACGUGCCAGCAGCCGCGGUAAUACGUAGGGUCCGAGCGUUGUCCGGAAUUAUUGGGCGUAAAGGGCUCGUAGGCGGUUUGUCGCGUCGGGAGUGAAAACUCAGGGCUCAACCCUGAGCGUGCUUCCGAUACGGGCAGACUAGAGGUAUGCAGGGGAGAACGGAAUUCCUGGUGUAGCGGUGGAAUGCGCAGAUAUCAGGAGGAACACCGGUGGCGAAGGCGGUUCUCUGGGCAUUACCUGACGCUGAGGAGCGAAAGCAUGGGGAGCGAACAGGAUUAGAUACCCUGGUA
rnacentral:rRNA from 1 species